rnacentral:rRNA from 1 species
GAAUGGGGAAACCCAGUGUGUUUCGACACACUAUCAUUAACUGAAUCCAUAGGUUAAUGAGGCGAACCGGGGGAACUGAAACAUCUAAGUACCCCGAGGAAAAGAAAUCAACCGAGAUUCCCCCAGUAGCGGCGAGCGAACGGGGAGCAGCCCAGAGCCUGAAUCAGUAUGUGUGUUAGUGGAAGCGUCUGGAAAGGCGCGCGAUACAGGGUGACAGCCCCGUACACAAAAAUGCACAUGCUGUGAGCUCGAUGAGUAGGGCGGGACACGUGGUAUCCUGUCUGAAUAUGGGGGGACCAUCCUCCAAGGCUAAAUACUCCUGACUGACCGAUAGUGAACCAGUACCGUGAGGGAAAGGCGAAAAGAACCCCGGCGAGGGGAGUGAAAAAGAACCUGAAACCGUGUACGUACAAGCAGUGGGAGCACGCUUAGGCGUGUGACUGCGUACCUUUUGUAUAAUGGGUCAGCGACUUAUAUUCUGUAGCAAGGUUAACCGAAUAGGGGAGCCGAAGGGAAACCGAGUCUUAACUGGGCGUUAAGUUGCAGGGUAUAGACCCGAAACCCGGUGAUCUAGCCAUGGGCAGGUUGAAGGUUGGGUAACACUAACUGGAGGACCGAACCGACUAAUGUUGAAAAAUUAGCGGAUGACUUGUGGCUGGGGGUGAAAGGCCAAUCAAACCGGGAGAUAGCUGGUUCUCCCCGAAAGCUAUUUAGGUAGCGCCUCGUGAAUUCAUCUCCGGGGGUAG